ACGCUCGACACCUACGGGAGCAGCAGUGGGGAAUAUUGGGCAAUGGGCGCAAGCCUGACCCAGCAACGCCGCGUGAAGGAAGAAGGCUUUCGGGUUGUAAACUUCUUUUCUCAGGGACGAAGGAAGUGACGGUACCUGAGGAACAAGCCACGGCUAACUACGUGCCGCAGCCGCCGGUAAUACUGAGCGGGCGUGGCGAAGGACG
rnacentral:rRNA from 1 species